AGAGUUUGAUCCUGGCUCAGAUUGAACGCUGGCGGCAUGCCUUACACAUGCAAGUCGAACGGCAGCACGGGUGCUUGCACCUGGUGGCGAGUGGCGAACGGGUGAGUAAUAUAUCGGAACGUACCUUAUUGUGGGGGAUAACGCAGCGAAAGCUGUGCUAAUACCGCAUAAUCCCUUAGGGGGAAGGCGGGGGACCGUAAGGCCUCGCGCAAUUAGAGCGGCCGAUACCUGAUUAGCUAGUUGGUGAGGUAAAGGCUCACCAAGGCGACGAUCAGUAGCUGGUCUGAGAGGACGAUCAGCCACACUGGGACUGAGACACGGCCCAGACUCCUACGGGAGGCAGCAGUGGGGAAUUUUGGACAAUGGGGGCAACCCUGAUCCAGCAAUGCCGCGUGAGUGAAGAAGGCCUUCGGGUUGUAAAGCUCUUUUGUCAGGGAAGAAACAGCAGCUCUAACACAGUAUGCGAAUGACGGUACCUGAAGAAUAAGCACCGGCUAACUACGUGCCAGCAGCCGCGGUAAU
rnacentral:rRNA from 1 species